GCGGACUGUCUUUCUGGAAACUGGAACAAGACUUUAUCAAGAGGUUAAAAGUGUGAAUUUCACAAACCAUUUGAGAGCAGCUAGAAGCUAUCGUCUUCAUCUCGUCGGGACAUUAUAAGCUGCCUCCUGGGUCCUGUGAGAUGCGGGAUACUAGACGGGGAGUCCAACGCUCCAGAGUCCAAUCUAGGAGUGGAAGUACAACGUGGCCCAACACGGCCCAUGAGUCCACGUACAUCCCUGUGAAGGGCUGGAUCGCUGGGGAUGGAGUUAAGACGUACCCCCUGUUCAUGAAUGUCCCGGUCCAAACGGGGGUUACUGGCACUGCUGGGAGACUGAGGAUCAGCGCUGAAGUAUAAGGUCGAACUCGACUCUGUGGGGCAAAAGUACGGCUCUGGACUGUCUCCAAACACAGACUUUCCCUCUGGUGAGCUACGUUUGAAAUCUGAAGCGGGUGACUCCAGUGGGCUCUCCAUCUCUAGGCUAUCAUCCUCUUCCUCAGGUGGUUCAGUCGAUGUUGGCUCGCUCACACUCUGGAACUCAUCUUUGCAAUCCGAUAGAGGUGCCAGGCCUUUCCCCUGAGACUCAGAGGUGGAGACACCCUCAUCUCCUGCUGUGAUAGUCAUGCCCUCGUUACUCUUAUACUCCUGGUUGUACUCCUCCAAGUCCAGUAUGGCUGCCGCUCCACCAGCCCCAUACGCCCUGUUGAUCUUCCCCAGGUCUCCUGUUUUCAGAGCCAGCCGAAUGAGGAGCCAGUGGUGAUGAUAGCAUGGGCAGGAGCUGUUAGCCCGGCCCCCGCAGGUUCCUGGGUGCUCCAGUAGAGAACCAGCCACACCGGAGAGGGAAAAGCUGCCGUGGUUUUGAAUGGAGGGAGCUGGAAGGCUUUUAUCGCCAAGAGAGAAGGAGGACUCCCCGCGUUCAAUGCAUGUGCUGCCCAUGUGAUUUCGGUUCAUUCCCUGGGAGAUCUCUGUGGACUUUGGGUGGAGGAAUCGGUAGUACAGGACAAGAGAGGUAGCACCUGGGAAGAGGGAAGAGUUGAUAGAGGAAUUAUUUUUUGAAAAUUGACUUGCAUUGAUUAUCUUAAGUAUCCAGAAGAGUACAGAUUGUUAUUUCAGUUUUUCAUCCAGUUGACGUGUUUUUCAUGUCUUCUGUUGAGUCAAAUCUUCAGUCCUCAAACCUUUAAGUGCAUCCCUUUAUGGAACCUCUACAGUUUUUGUGUUAGCAGCCAAACACAAACAUGCACAAGUGAGGAACUGUAAAGCUAUACCACAAAUUACACUUCCACUUUUGCUGAUAGUUCAAAAACACAACUUAAAUGUCAAUUCAAUUCAAUUUAUUUUCAACCUGUUUGCAUCCCCUCUGAUUCUAUAUUAUUCAUAUACCACAGAAACUGCUGCACAUUUUGACUUUGGUUUAAUUUUAACAUCUAAGACAAAUCUGUUCCCAAACAGAAAAAGUGCAGAUAGGGAAAGUGACUCACCAAGGAGAAAGCUGCAAAGCACAGUGGUGGGAAGGGUCAUGCUGUCCCAUGAUGCUUCACUUAGGAAGUCAGAGGCGGCCAGCAGCAGUGUAGCAUUCUCUACUAGCAUGAACUGAGGGAGGAGAGAAGGUCAUCUGCACACAGCUUUAGAAGUAAGGAUGAAACUGAAAACUAUCGGCCCUGCAUGUAUGUCAGUAUGCAGUGCUCUAUAUGACAUGCAAAACAACAUUCUGACAACAGGAAAUCAAGCGCAAGAUUUAAUUUUAAUCAUGUCUUACUGCAUAAAAACUGGCCAUGCGGAAGCGCGAGGGUCCAUCUUUGACGUUAAGGAAGACGAAGACGUGGACGAGCCCCAUGAUGCCGUUAAAGGCUCGCCAACACCAGGGGCCAGUGCAGAUGUCUGGUUGCUGUGAAACCAGCCAGAAGGAGGCUGUGAGCCAGUGGAAACCUGGAGGUCGACAUAAAAAUAGAACAAGAGUUAGGGCUUAUUAUGGGAUCCAUAUGCAGUGUAGCAUCCUAAUGCAGAGAAGUGAGAAACUGGAUUAAAGGACAUGCUGCAUCACUGAGGAUAAUUACAUCCUACAUACAAGUGUAUACGAGUGAUUUUGUGCAUCUUUUUCCUGCACCAUUUACAAUCAUUAUUCUCUUUCUCUAAGAUGUAAGUAUCCGCCCAUGUAGCCUGCUGCUCACCUGCUACUCCACAGACCCACCAGUUAAAAACUCUGGCAAAGAACAUGAGGCAGGUCACCCUCGCACCCAGCAUGCCAGCCCUCCACACCAGCUGGCACAGCAAGGCUGCUGGAGGCAUGGCCAAGUGGCCCGGUCGUAUCAGGCAGCAGGCUCUGCUAUACAGAACCAGUGCCCAGGAAAUAGACAGCACACACAGACCACAGCAGUAGGCCACUAUAGUAAAAAAAGAGUAGAAAAACACAUUAUUUAUUAUUUAGACCCUUUUUACAACAACAGAUAUGACACAAGCAGGAUCAGGUUGUUAAAGGUGACAUCAGGUUACCUGGGGACAUGAUGCCCACAUCAGUGGACACCACGACAUACGCUUGCAGCAGACUCUGAGGCAGUGUGAGAACCAGGGCCUCCAGCAGCCACAAAGCAGCAACAUCUGCCUGCUGCAUGACCGCAACUCCAAGAUCAGCCACAGAGUCCUGCAUGCGGAACACAGCCCUCAUGCAGUCCCACAUCCUGCCAGAAGAGGGAGACAGACACAAACAUAGGAGCAGUGAGACAAGGUGCAGUAUGUGUAUGACAGAGAGGUAGCAUCGCCUGUCAUCACCAUCAUCAUAGUACCAUUUCACACUAAGCAGCUGAACUGCUGUACCCGGUAGGAAGAGGCCCAGAGUGAGGCCCGCCCACUGCGUCUCUUCAUUCCAAAGAGAGGCUGAAGUGGACCACAGAGCAGCUGUGAGCACGGUGUGACCAGAUCAGGGGCGUGUCAUCAGUCCGGAAGAGGUGCAGUGUUCAGAAACCAGUGCCCAGCUGUCCCUCUGUACGUGUCAGCGGGGGAUGAACGUCCAGAAUGUGUUGAUACUUGUGUCAUGCUGCUGUGUGAAUAAAUGUCAGCACCGCGCUAGAGUCACCACCCACCUAGUCCACCAACCAUCUCCUCUCAGCCAGUGGAUGAUCUCCUGUUGACAAGCAGAGGGUUAUUAUCGUGGUUUCAGGGCUAACAGGAAUGCUACCACACUUCACAACAGAUGUCUUUUCAAAUUUUGACAAAACCACCCACAGAGAUGAGGAAAGAACUUGUGAUGUCUGUACUCAGCUGACCUGCAGGGAUUGAUGUCUGUAACCCGUGAGAUAUGAAGAUAAUUUCAUAACUGAUGACACAGUGAAUAUGCAUGUGUGGCUCUUGGACCUACAAUGAUUAAAAAUGUAUUUCAUGUAUA